rnacentral:misc_RNA from 1 species
GAAAUGCGAUAAGUAAUGUGAAUUGCAGAAUUCAGUGAAUCAUCGAAUCUUUGAACGCACCUUGCGCUCCUUGGUAUUCCUUGGAGCAUGCCUGUUUGAGUAUCAUGAAAUCUUCAAAGUAAAUCUUUUGUCAACUCAAUUGGUUUCUACUUUGGUAUUGGAGGUCUUUGCAGCUUCACACCUGCUCCUCUUUGUUCAUUAGCUGGAUCUCAGUGUUAUGCUUGGUUCCACUCGGCGUGAUAAGUUAUCUAUCGCUGAGGACACUGUAAAAGGUGGCCAAGGUAAAUGCAGAUGAACCGCUUCUAAUAGUCCAUUGACUUGGACAAUACUUUUAUGAUCUGAUCUCAAAUCAGGUAGGACUACCCGCUGAACUUAAGC